CUAAUUUCACCAGCUCAACUCUCUCACUCAGAUAUGCAGCCCAUCUCAUUCCCCUCCCUCUCGACUCCCUCUAACCCUAGAAAUAUUGGUGGCGUAGUGGUGGUGGCAGCGAUGACAUAGUGGUGGCGCCAUUCUACAAGCGACGUUUAGAGCCGAAGAGGUGAACCGCGUCUCUCUGAAAACCCUUGUUAGCGUACUUUGUAAUCGAAGCUUCUUCAAUGGCGAAUAACAAUUUACCUCAAAGAAUUAUCAAAGUAAGUCACUCGAUCUUCCUCUUCUCCUAUUUCUCAAUCCCUUCCCCAAUUCAUUUUGAUUUAAUUUCUUCGUCCUUGUUUAGAAUUUUUCUGUUUGAAUAAUUUAUUUUUGGUCGAUUCAUGUCUGCUUUGAAGUUUUCAGAAAGACUGGACUACAUUUCUUGAGAAUCAGGUGCUUUCUCCUGCGAUGUAUAAGCAUAUUUUCCUUGGACAACCUUUCCACCUUAGCUUUUUGAAAGAGUAAUAUUGGAGUUAUUUGUGGAUCGUGACACAUUUCUUCUUGUGGUAAAUUAUUGUAUUGGCUUCUUGUUGGAUGGUUUUGUAUACUUGUCUACUCAACCUUGCCAUUGCUUUCCUUUUGUUAAAUAAUAAGGUUAGUGUGAUUACAUUGCUUAUGCCCAUUUUAGUUUACCUCAUAUUUUGUGAUGGAUCUUCCUUUUAAUUGCUUUCCAUUUGACUUGUAAACUACUCCCAAUGUCCAUGGGUUCUACUCUUUUUGGACAGUUCUCUAAUGUACUUAUACUUAUUUAAAAAAAUAAAUUAAUGCGACCUUAUACUUCAACUGAUUUUAGUUAUGAAUUAUUGUUUGUACAUUUGGUGAUUUGUACACCUUAAUGAUUAGAUAAGUAUGUGCAAUAUAUGUAAGAUUGCUUCAUCAUAUCAGUCUCGUAUGUAUCCUCUUGCCGUGCUCUCAUAUGUAUCACCACAUUUGCAUUGCCCAGUUGUUGACUAAGAGUAACUCAUGCCCCUUGUGCCGAUGACGUUUCACAACACUGACUGAUUCGGCAUUGCACAUCUUAGAGCUGCGGACCUUUCAUGAGUACUGAUUCUGCAUUGCACGCCUUAGGUAACAUGUUUAAUUAUUAGGGUUAAUAUGCGUCGUCCUUCUUAAUUAUAUUUUUUAUGUGCCUUCGCCUUUGGAGUACUGAUUGGAACUUCUGGUAUUUGCUACAAAUUACCUAUAGCUAAUGCAUUAAUUGGUCGUAUCUUCUCACUGCAAAUUUCAUAAUGCAAAUUUCAUAAUGCUAUUUUGACUAUUACACUCACCUAAAAUAUAUAUUCCCCACUCUUAUAGUCACGGUUUUUCCUACAAUGUGCCAUGCUCAGUCUAUUUUCCCACUAAAGCUCUAACUGGAAAUCCAGGGGGAGUCUGAAUUUGGUGUAGAACCAUUCUUUAGUAAUGGUGUUCCAGAAUAAGACAUGAUUAAAACCUCACAUAGAUUAAGCUGAAUAAUAAAUUUGAUGGUUGGCCCAUGCUCGAUAUAUUUUGCUUAUAAAGCUCUAACUGAAAGUCUAGGGGAAUCUGAAUUUGGUGUAGAACCAGUAUUUUAUGAUGGUAUACCAAAAAAAAACAUGAUUAAAACCUCACAAGAUUAAGCUGAAUAGUUUGGUGCAUGGUCAGAGCGUAGGUGAUGAAUUUGCAGAUAAUAAAGAUCAAAAUUCUGCAAAAGAUGCGGUUCUAAAUAAUAUGAACCAAGAUACUAGUCAGAAUCUUACCAACUCUGCUAAUAUAUCUAUGGAUACAUCACAAGUUACUGCAUAUGUUCAUGAAUCCAUUUCUGAGCAUCAGCUGGUUGAUGUUUCUGGUAAGCCAUAUUAUAUCUACUGAAUAUCUUUAUUUUAGAAUGUUACUAUCUGACCUAUACUCUUUCCAUUCCACGAGCGGCGCUUUUAAACAGUACUAUAUCAAUUAUAACUGCACAUGUUUCUAUUAGGCAUUAUAUGCUUCUAUUUUAGAGUUUGUGAAGUGAAUGUUGUAAUCAGGUAGGCAUAAGAUUUUACACAAAAGGGUAAGUCGAUUAGGCCAUUGUAUUUGCUGUGGGAAAUGGACUCGAUGUAGAGUUACCAUUCCAUCAUUACUGCACGAUAUGGCUGCUCUACACUUGAGCCCGAUCUUUCAUGAGUGCACUAAACUAUGAUGCCAGCGCCUAUUUUUUGGGCCGGCAUACCAUGUUAACCUAUGUUUUGUUUUUAUUCAGAAACAAUAUUUUGUUGUGUAGUUCAUUUUAGUUUUAUAUGCUACUGUUCCAAGUUUGACCAUCCCUUACCUUUGACUACCCUUGGUACGGAAAGAAAAGGAAAAUGAUGAAUCAACUAUAUCAUCAAAAUAAUUCAGUAGUAAUUGUUUCACCAUUUUAGAUUUAUAACUCCUUUAAAUAAAUCUAGUUGGUGACAUGGAUCCCAUCUCAUGGUUGAACCCACUGUCCUAUUGUUUCUUGUCUUUCUUGUUUUAAUAUUUUCUUGUAAAUGAAAUGCUACAACGUGCUACAUCGUGAGAGCCAACUGUUAUACACUGUGGAUGUUUAUGAAUAUGUUCACUAUGUGAAGUUCCUUAUGAAAAAAACAUUUAAACCUGGCAACUCUUGAGUGCAAAGUCCAGCAAUGGAUAUCAUUUGAAGGAGUUGUGUUUCAGGUGUAAAUGUGUACCUGAGGUCCUGAACUCUAACCUGCCAUUUCCCACAAAGUUGGUUGGGACUUGGGACUAAACUUGUGCAUAAAUUUGAUCACUAUUGUGACCUGGUUAGGACUCAGUAAUCAGUAGUUUGUAUAUGGGUCUGGAUCCAGUGGUGGUCAGUAAAUUAAUUAUAAUAUUAAUGUUUCUAUCCUCUGGACUACUGUAUCUACAUGAAUGGGCUCUCCUCAUCUUCACUUAGUAAAGCCUAAUCCCAACUAUUUGACGCUGGUUAAAUGAAUUUUGUUUUAACCCUCCAUAUGAGUUUGUUUUGUAUAUAUAUAGAUGGGUGAUAGAUAAUCAGAUUGAUAAUAUGGUUUAAACCCAGGAUACUAAUAUAGGUGUAUUUCAUAUUGAUAUAAAAUUUUAAUCAAAGAAGUCUGGUGUUUCUAGGUGUUGUACAUCACAUAUUUCACUAACGUGUUGCUUCAUUUUCUUUCUUGUAGCUUCUUGGGAGGAGCAGUGGAUUUCAUGUGGCAUCAACUUAUCGGCUGUGUACGAAAUGUCUUUGGCAUCAACUCAUUGAUUCAUUUGUUGUUUCUACAGUGCUAUGUAACAUGUUCAUAUAUAUUUAUAUUGAAAAGUGAUUUUGAGAUGCAUAUAUGGAUAGUUUGAUAUAUAUUUUGUAGAUGUAGUAAUUUGAAACUGUAAACGAAUGGUAUUAUUGGAAUAUAUUUUGAAUGGUUGAUACAUUUUGGCUUUAAAUUUAAAUGAGAAUUUAGACUUUUUAGCUAUAUAUCACGGCAUUAGCAUAUUGCAGGUGCAUUGGUAAUAUAGGUGAACAACAACAUUUUUUUCCUUUUUUUUUCUUUAUCUACAACAUUUUAAAAUUGUUGUAUAUUUGUAUAAAUAAA
rnacentral:lncRNA from 1 species